GAUCAUUGACGGAUUUGGGGUUCUGAGAUUCAGUUGAUUUCUCAGGUGCUCACUCAGCUAAUAGUUAUUAUUUAAGAAACUCAAUAAUAUUGGCAGCAAGGAGAAUGGUGACUUUCAGGAUGAUAACUAUUGGCUGAGUGAGCAUCACGGAAAUCGACGUGAUUCUGAGAGGAAAAUGAUU